AGUGAACGCUGGCGGCAUGCCUUAUACAUGCAAGUCGAACGAGAACGGCCUAGCUUGCUAGGUGUCAGCUAAGUGGCGCACGGGUGAGUAAUAUAUAGUUAACAUGCCUUUUAGUAGGGGAUAACGCUUAGAAAUGAGUGCUAAUACCCUAUACUCCUUUUUGUUUGAUGCAGAUUGGGAAAGAUUUAUCGCUAAGAGAUUGGACUAUAUCCCAUCAGCUUGUUGGUAGUGUAAGAGACUACCAAGGCUAUGACGGGUAGCUGGUUUGAGAGGAUGAUCAGCCACACUGGAACUGAGACACGGUCCAGACUCCUACGGGAGGCAGCAGUAGGGAAUAUUGCGCAAUGGGGGAAACCCUGACGCAGCAAUGCCGCGUGAAGGAUGAAGGUUCUAGGAUUGUAAACUUCUUUUAUAUGCCAAGAUAAUGACGGUAGCAUAUGAAUAAGCACCGGCUAACUCCG
rnacentral:rRNA from 1 species